rnacentral:rRNA from 1 species
UACAGAGGGGGCGAGCGUUGUCCGGAAUUAUUGGGCGUAAAGAGCUCGUAGGCGGCUUGUCACGUCGGGUGUGAAAGCCCGGGGCUUAACCCCGGGUCUGCAUUCGAUACGGGCUGGCUAGAGUGUGGUAGGGGAGAUCGGAAUUCCUGGUGUAGCGGUGAAAUGCGCAGAUAUCAGGAGGAACACCGGUGGCGAAGGCGGAUCUCUGGGCCAUUACUGACGCUGAGGAGCGAAAGCGUGGGGAGCGAACAGG